rnacentral:lncRNA from 1 species
AUGGCUGACUGGACAGGCAAUAAGUCUACUUCAAUCUGGUUGGACAUUGAAAGUUCAAUGUCGAACUGUCCUUUAAAAUCACAGCUUUUUCUAGAAAAGGGGAAAACCCUCAAAACUGUCUGUACCAACCCAAUUACAUUAUCUACAAUUACAGCGUGGCAAAUAAUACGAAAAUUAGAGGGUAGGUCACAAACAACCUCGGUUUUUCCAAUAUGUGGAAACCCAGAUUUUCUACCUGGGAUUAUGGAUGAUAACUUUGGAAGAUGGAGUGAUAAGGGGGUAUCCAAAUUACAAGAUCUAUUUGAUGGACCUACCCUGAUGUCAUUUACCCAACUGACUGAAAAAUAUAAUAUUUCAACAAAGGACCUUUUUCGAUACUUACAAAUAAGAGACUUUAUCAGGAAGGACUCUACACUUCUGGCAUGCCAGGAUGUGCCAGAUACUGAGCGCCAGGUGUUUUCUGCCAGGUCGGUUACUUCUAUUUGUACGUUUUAUAAUAUCAUUAAAUGCUAUAAAACAAGGGAAACUUCCUGCCUGAGGGAACUGUGGGAAAGGGAACUCCACUGUAACAUUACCGAAGAUGACUGGAACAAUGCUUUGAGAAACGUAAGAACCAUAAGUGUAUGUAAUAGGGUUAAAGCCACCCAACUUAUGAUUCUUCACAGAGCUCAUAAACCACCCUACCGAAGGCAGUGCCUGAAAUGCAAAACUGAGGUUGGCACUCUUACGCACUGUUUUUGGUCCUGUAUUAAGGUGAAGCAAUUCUGGCUGAUUAUCGGAGGGGAAAUUAAAAAAAUUUGGUUUGCAAACAUAAACUUAUUUCUGUUGUUGGGAGUGGUCGAUCCGGUUGUCAGUGGUAAAUAUGAAAGGAGACUCUACAGCAGACCUGGGCAUUUUACGGCCCACGGGCCACAUACGGCCCUUUGGUUGACUUUGACCGGCCCGCGUAAGGUUAAUUGGAAAUUACAAAAUAAAUGUAUUUUCUCAUUUUACCUCAUGCAUGGGCUAAGGCUGCAUUGCUUUUAUUUUGAAGUUGUUUUUUACGUGCACAAUGACGCAAUACGUAUAGCAACAAGUGCCCGCGGUUGA